rnacentral:sRNA from 2 species
CGCACUGUCAUUGGGGAGUAGCAACCGCCCGUCGAUCCGGGCAGGGCUCAUGUCAACAUUCUUGGAUCAUCAGAUCCAUGGCAUGGGCGGCGAUAGCAUCUAUCGCCCUGCAAGACCUUUGGCCUCGAUACGCAAGCCAGCCGGGCGAGCCGUAUCGGGUCCAUCGGUUGUUCUGCUCGCCUGGCGGUUGCC